AGAACACAGGGAUUGCCUUAGUAACGGCGAGCGAAGCGGCAAUUGCUCAGAUUUGAAAUCUGGUCCCCUUGGGGCCCGAGUUGUAAUCUGUAGGGGAUGCUUCGGAGUCUGACCCGGCCUAAGUUCCUUGGAACAGGACGUCGCAGAGGGUGAGAAUCCCGUAUGCGGCCGGUGGACGUCUCCGUGCGAAGCUCCUCCGACGAGUCGAGUUGUUUGGGAAUGCAGCUCUAAAUGGGAGGUAAAUUUCUUCUAAAGCUAAAUACCGGCCAGAGACCGAUAGCGCACAAGUAGAGUGAUCGAAAGAUGAAAAGCACUUUGGAAAGAGAGUUAAAAAGUACGUGAAAUUGUUGAAAGGGAAGCGCUUGCAACCAGACUCGACCGCUAAAGGAUCACCCCUCCCCGUGGAGGGCUCACUCCUCUGCGGUCGGGCCAGCAUCGGUUCGGGCGGUCGUUUAAAGGCGUUGGGAAUGUGGCUCCUCUCGGGGAGCGUUAUAGCCCUUCGUGCAAUGCGACCUGCCCGGACCGAGGACCGCGCUCCGGCAAGGAUGCUGGCUUAAUGGUUGUAAGCGGCCCGUCUUGAAACACGGACCAAGGAGUCUAACAUCUAUGCGAGUGUUCGGGUGUUAAACCCCUACGCGCAAUGAAAGUGAACGGAGGUCGGAGCCCUCGGGCGCACGAUCGACCGAUCCUGAUGUCUUCGGAUGGAUUUGAGUAAGAGCAUAAAUGUUGGGACCCGAAAGAUGUGCGAACUAUGCUUGAGUAGGCCGAAGCCAGCGGAAACGCUGGUGGAGGGUCGCAGCGGUUCUGACGUGCAAAUCGAUCGUCAAACUUGAGUAUAGGGGCGAAAGACUAAUCGAGCCAUCUAGUAGCUGGUUCCUGCCGAAGUUUCCCUUAGGAUAGCAGUAACGUUUUCAGUUUUAUGAGGUAAAGCGAAUGAUUAGAGGCCUGGGGGUUGAAACAACCUUCACCUAUUCUCAAACUUUAAAUAUGUAAGAAGCCCUUGUUACUUAGUUGAACGUGGGCACUCGAAUGUACCGUUACUAGUGGGCCAUUUUUGGUAAGCAGAACUGGCGAUGCGGGGUGAACCGAACGCGAGGUUAAGGUGCCGGAAUGCACGCUCAUCAGACACCACAAAAGGUGUUAGUUCAUCUAGACAGCAGGACGGUGGCCAUGGAAGUCGGAAUCCGCUAAGGAGUGUGUAACAACUCACCUGCCGAAUGAACUAGCCCUGAAAAUGGAUGGCGCUCAAGCGUGCUACCAAUACCUCGCCGCCUGGGUAAGACCUAUGCCCAGGCGAGUAGGCAGGCGUGGAGGCCCGUGACGAAGCCUUGGGGGGACCCCGUCA
rnacentral:rRNA from 1 species